rnacentral:rRNA from 1 species
ACUUACGGCCAUACCACCCUGAACACGCCCGAUCUUGUCUGAUCUUGGAAGCUAAGCAGGAAUGGGCCUGGUUAGUACUUGGAUGGGAGGCUCCCUAGGAAUACCAGGUGGGAUUACUGUGACUC